rnacentral:rRNA from 1 species
AGUGAACGCUGGCGGUAGGCCUAACACAUGCAAGUCGAACGGCAGCACAGUAAGAGCUUGCUCUUACGGGUGGCGAGUGGCGGACGGGUGAUGAAUACAUCGGUAUCUACUUUUUCGUGGGGGAUAACGUAGGGAAACUUACGCUAAUACCGCAUACGACCUACGUGUGAAAGCAGGGGAUCUUCGGACCUUGCGCGAUUGAAUGAGCCGAUGUCGGAUUAGCUAGUUGGCGGGGUAAAGGCCCACCAAGGCGACGAUCCGUAGCUGGUCUGAGAGGAUGAUCAGCCACACUGGAACUGAGACACGGUCCAGACUCCUACGGGAGGCAGCAGUGGGGAAUAUUGGACAAUGGGCGCAAGCCUGAUCCAGCCAUACCGCGUGGGUGAAGAAGGCCUUCGGGUUGUAAAGCACUUUUGUUGGGAAAGAAAAGCAGCAGGUUAAUACCCCGCUGUUCUGACGGUACCAAAAGAAUAAGCACCGGCUAACUUCGUG